AGAUUAGAAAGAGGAGAGAGUUGGAUUUGAGGAGGGUCAAUCUGAGAGAAGAAGAAAGGUGUGCAGAAAAAGAGCACUAAUGAAGAAAGUGACCUCCCCAAACCACUGGAGUCAAAGAAGUCUUCUGUGGGGAAGAGAUCCAAGAAGUUCAGUGAACCUCAAGCAAGAGGAAUAUAAAAAAAAAACAUACCUAAUCACAUCAAAAUCAAAGAGCACUGGAUUCUGCAGCACAGAAUAAAAAUGACGGCUAAGGAGGGAGUUGUGCAAGAAACAAGAUGUUCAUGGUGACGCUUAUGAACAUAAAAUUCAGAAAAGGUACAAAGUCAGAAUUUGGGGGAAUUCCUCCAAUUAGCUGACAAGUGGAAGAAGGGAAGCAAACAAAGAAGAUGGAAGGGAAUUGGGAAGAAAUCAAAACAGUGCUGUGUUAGGACAAGAGGUAAAGUUUGAAGAAAAGAAGUGGUCAUGUGUGAAACACUAUAGAGAAGCUGGGAAAGCUGAGGUGUGACAACACGUCAUUGACCAUUAAGAGAUAGCUGAUGGCUCUGAGUGGACAGUUCAUGCAGUGUGGUCAGGACACAAGACAAAUAACAAGUUUGCAGAGUUGAGAAAAUGGUACGGCUUGCCAUGGUGGAAUAUUAAAUUAACUUUGCAAUGUACAGAUUCUUGACCUUCUUUGUUUUUGCAGUAGCU